AUAGAUGGAUCCGCGCUGCAUUAGCUAGUUGGUAAGGUAACGGCUUACCAAGGCAACGAUGCAUAGCCGACCUGAGAGGGUGAUCGGCCACACUGGAACUGAGACACGGUCCAGACUCCUACGGGAGGCAGCAGUAGGGAAUCUUCCGCAAUGGGCGAAAGCCUGACGGAGCAACGCCGCGUGAGUGAUGAAGGUCUUCGGAUCGUAAAACUCUGUUAUUAGGGAAGAACAUAUGUGUAAGUAACUGUGCACAUCUUGACGGUACCUAAUCAGAAAGCCACGGCUAACUACGUGCCAGCAGCCGCGGUAAUACGUAGGUGGCAAGCGUUAUCCGGAAUUAUUGGGCGUAAAGCGCGCGUAGGCGGUUUUUUAAGUCUGAUGUGAAAGCCCACGGCUCAACCGUGGAGGGUCAUUGGAAACUGGAAAACUUGAGUGCAGAAGAGGAAAGUGGAAUUCCAUGUGUAGCGGUGAAAUGCGCAGAGAUAUGGAGGAACACCAGUGGCGAAGGCGACUUUCUGGUCUGUAACUGACGCUGAUGUGCGAAAGCGUGGGGAUCAAACAGGAUUAGAUACCCUGGUAGUCCACGCCGUAAACGAUGAGUGCUAAGUGUUAGGGGGUUUCCGCCCCUUAGUGCUGCAGCUAACGCAUUAAGCACUCCGCCUGGGGAGUACGACCGCAAGGUUGAAACUCAAAGGAAUUGACGGGGACCCGCACAAGCGGUGGAGCAUGUGGUUUAAUUCGAAGCAACGCGAAGAACCUUACCAAAUCUUGACAUCCUUUGACAACUCUAGAGAUAGAGCCUUCCCCUUCGGGGGACAAAGUGACAGGUGGUGCAUGGUUGUCGUCAGCUCGUGUCGUGAGAUGUUGGGUUAAGUCCCGCAACGAGCGCAACCCUUAAGCUUAGUUGCCAUCAUUAAGUUGGGCACUCUAAGUUGACUGCCGGUGACAAACCGGAGGAAGGUGGGGAUGACGUCAAAUCAUCAUGCCCCUUAUGAUUUGGGCUACACACGUGCUACAAUGGACAAUACAAAGGGCAGCGAAACCGCGAGGUCAAGCAAAUCCCAUAAAGUUGUUCUCAGUUCGGAUUGUAGUCUGCAACUCGACUACAUGAAGCUGGAAUCGCUAGUAAUCGUAGAUCAGCAUGCUACGGUGAAUACGUUCCCGGGUCUUGUACACACCGCCCGUCACACCACGAGAGUUUGUAACACCCGAAGCCGGUGGAGUAACCUUUUAGGAGCUAGCCGUCGAAGGUGGGACAAAUGAUUGGGGUGAAGUCGUAACAAGGUAGCCGUAUCGGAAGGUGCGGCU
rnacentral:rRNA from 1 species